rnacentral:rRNA from 1 species
UCGAGGAUCUUCGGCAAUGGGCGCAAGCCUGACCGAGCGACGCCGCGUGUGCGAUGAAGGCCUUCGGGUUGUAAAGCACUGUCGAGGGAGAGAAAACCCGCAAGGGAUGAUCGAUCUCUGGAGGAAGCACGGGCUAAGUUCGUGCCAGCAGCCGCGGUAAGACGAACCGUGCGAACGUUGUUCGGAAUCAUUGGGCUUAAAGGGUGCGUAGGCGGGCUGGCCAGUCCGGGGUGAAAGCCCACGGCUCAACCGUGGAAGUGCCUUGGAUACUGCCAGUCUCGAGGGAGGUAGGGGCGUGCGGAACUUCCGGUGGAGCGGUGAAAUGCGUAGAUAUCGGAAGGAACACCGGUGGCGAAAGCGGCGCGCUGGACCUCAUCUGACGCUGAGGCACGAAAGCCAGGGGAGCAAACGGGAUUAGAUACCCCGGUAGUCC